rnacentral:snoRNA from 1 species
AGAUCGAUGAUGACACCCUUGUGUGCAUUCCUUGGAAAAUCUGAACAAAAUGAGUGAGAACACUCUACCAUCUCCUCAUCAAAUCUGAGGUCC